rnacentral:tRNA from 1 species
GCUCCUAUCGUCUAGUUGGUCAGGACGCCACUCUCUCAAGGUGGAAACACCGGUUCGAAUCCGGUUGGGAGCG